GUUUAGCCCAGAUUGAAGUGGCAUCCUUUUGCUUUUUCAGCAAAAGAUAUAACGGAAAGCUGGAAUUAGC
rnacentral:sRNA from 1 species